ensembl:lncRNA SNHG11 small nucleolar RNA host gene 11
ACCUUUAAAAAGUAGCUGUAAAACCUCCAUUUUACAGACCAGUUGGCUGAGGUUUAAAUGGAGGACGCUCCCAGGGCCCCAGAGGGGCGAAUUCCAGACUCCUUUGCCAGGACCUUGUACUAAGCCCCUUCCCUACGCUUUUCCCUGCCUAGGCCUCGUGGGCUGUGCGGCUAUCCUGGAGACAGAUGACAGCUCUCCCUUGGAUGGCUUUGCUGGUUCCGCACCAGCCAGCGCCCCCAUUUUUCCUGCAGCACCCUGAUCUGCACUCCCUGAGGGGCUCCCACUGUCCGCGGUGUGAGGAUGUCCCUGGAUAGUCCACUGUGUGCAGAGGCAUGGGAGUUGUCAUGUUGGGAACAUGCUAGACCUCAGUAUCCUUGAGGGAUGCUGCCUUGGGUCUGGAAACUGUUAGAGGAAACCCCAAGAGGUGCAGGCACUGAGCCUCUCAGGACAAUGACCUGGGGUCCCAGCUCCCCUGGAGGGGCCUCCUCAUGAUUGUUUGGGGGUUGAUCACAGACCAAGAGUGACGAGUGAUGUCACCCUGUGACUCAUGGCUGGACCUUCUUGCCCCUAUUGUCUCAGCACAACAUUAUUCGACUUUUCCCUCAGCGUGGGUGGGCAGAGGAAAAGCCCUGUGGCUCUGGGGACUUGGGAUCCAGAGUUGAAGACCCUUCAGCUGGCUCUGCCCUGCCAGUGCCACAGAGUGCCAUGGCCCAGGAAGACAGGUUUUCUUCCAUCUAGGCCAGGCCAUCCAGUGGCCAUCCUCCGUGUCCUCCCGCCUCCUCCUGGUGUGACUUCUGAAAACCAAGAAUUUGUUCCUGUUGACUUUUUCUGUGCUAUGGACCAUUGUCCUCUCACCCACUCAAUAAAUCUUGAAACAUGC